ACAAAUGAAUGUAGGAAUGACUUGGGUGUCUAAAACACUCACCUUUAAGGUAUUUAAAUCCUGAAAAAGACAAGGCGUAUCUAUUUGUUUUGAAAAUUGGUUGGGAGCUACCUAAUGUAAGAAUGAUUGACGACACUAAGAUGGGCUGCUCAUAUGCAAUAAUUAGUAACUGAUUUGAUUAUGUAUUCAAACUUCCUAUGGAAAGUGAGGUAAAAUGACAGACACAGUCCCAUAACUUGACUUACUAAGAAAAGAUAUCCUUCAGGGUGAAUUCACCAAUCUAAAAAAAGGU